rnacentral:rRNA from 1 species
UGAGGAAUAUUGGUCAAUGGGCGAGAGCCUGAACCAGCCAAGUAGCGUGCAGGACGACGGCCCUAUGGGUUGUAAACUGCUUUUAUAUGGGGAUAAAGUGAGCUACGUGUAGUUUAUUGCAGGUACCAUAUGAAUAAGGACCGGCUAAUUCCGUGCCAGCAGCCGCGGUAAUACGGAGGAUGCGAGCGUUAUCCGGAUUUAUUGGGUUUAAAGGGUGCGUAGGCGGACCGUUAAGUCAGUGGUAAAAUUGAGAGGCUCAACCUCUUCCGGCCAUUGAAACUGGCGGACUUGAGUGAGCGAGAAGUAUGCGGAAUGCGUGGUGUAGCGGUGAAAUGCAUAGAUAUCACGCAGAACUCCGAUUGCGAAGGCAGCAUACCGGCGCUCAACUGACGCUGAGGCACGAAAGCGU